UCUCAGUUCGGAUCGGAGUCUGCAACCCGACUCCGUGAAGCUGGAUUCGCUAGUAAUCGCGCAUCAGCCAUGGCGCGGUGAAUACGUUCCCGGGCCUUGUACACACCGCCCGUCAAGCCAUGGAAGCCGGGGGCGCUUGAAGUGCGUUGCCGCAAGGCGCGCCCUAGAGCGAAACCGGUGACUGGGGCUAAGUCGUAACAAGGUAAC
rnacentral:rRNA from 1 species